GGAGAUAUAGCUCAGUUGGUAGAGUGCUUGCUUAGCAUGCACAAGACCCUGGGUUCAAACCCCAGCACCACCA
rnacentral:tRNA from 1 species